rnacentral:rRNA from 1 species
GGAGGAAAGCAGGGGAUCGCAAGACCUUGCGCUUUUGGAGUGGCCGAUGCCUGAUUAGCUAGUUGGUGGGGUAAUGGCCUGCCAAGGCGACGAUCAGUAGUUGGUCUGAGAGGACGACCAGCCACACUGGGACUGAGACACGGCCCAGACUCCUACGGGAGGCAGCAGUGGGGAAUUUUGGACAAUGGGCGAAAGCCUGAUCCAGCAAUGCCGCGUGAGUGAAGAAGGCCUUCGGAUUGUAAAGCUCUUUCAGUCGAGAAGAAAAGGUUGUGACUAAUAAUCACAACUCAUGACGGUAUCGACAGAAGAAGCAUCGGCUAACUACGUGCCAGCAGCCGCGGUAAUACGUAGGGUGCGAGCGUUAAUCGGAAUUACUGGGCGUAAAGGGUGCGCAGGCGGCUUUGUAAGUCAGAUGUGAAAUCCCCGGGCUUAACCUGGGAA